rnacentral:rRNA from 1 species
UCGACCCCUAAGGUGAGGCCGAAAGGCGUAAUCGAUGGGAAACGGGUUAAUAUUCCCGUACUUCUGACUAUUGCGAUGGGGGGACGGAGAAGGCUAGGUGGGCCAGGCGACGGUUGUCCUGGUUCAAGUGCGUAGGCUUGAGAGUUAGGUAAAUCCGGCUCUCUCUAAGGCUGAGACACGACGUCGAGCUACUACGGUAGUGAAGUCAUUGAUGCCAUGCUUCCAGGAAAAGCCUCUAAGCUUCAGAUAGUCAGGAAUCGUACCCCAAACCGACACAGGUGGUCGGGUAGAGAAUACCAAGGCGCUUGAGAGAACUCGGGUGAAGGAACUAGGCAAAAUGGUACCGUAACUUCGGGAGAAGGUACGCUCUUGAUGGUGAAGUCCCUCGCGGAUGGAGCUGACGAGAGUCGCAGAUACCAGGUGGCUGCAACUGUUUAUUAAAAACACAGCACUGUGCAAAAUCGCAAGAUGACGUAUACGGUGUGACGCCUGCCCGGUGCCGGAAGGUUAAUUGAUGGGGUUAGCGCAAGCGAAGCUCUUGAUCGAAGCCCCGGUAAACGGCGGCCGUAACUAUAACGGUCCUAAGGUAGCGAAAUUCCUUGUCGGGUAAGUUCCGACCUGCACGAAUGGCGUAAUGAUGGCCACGCUGUCUCCACCCGAGACUCAGUGAAAUUGAAAUCGCUGUGAAGAUGCAGUGUACCCGCGGCUAGACGGAAAGACCCCGUGAACCUUUACUACAGCUUGGCACUGAACAUUGAACCUACAUGUGUAGGAUAGGUGGGAGGCUAUGAAGACGUGACGCCAGUUGCGUUGGAGCCGUCCUUGAAAUACCACCCUUGUAUGUUUGAUGUUCUAACUUAGACCCAUUAUCUGGGUUGAGGACAGUGCCUGGUGGGUAGUUUGACUGGGGCGGUCUCCUCCCAAAGAGUAACGGAGGAGCACGAAGGUGGGCUAAUCACGGUUGGACAUCGUGAGGUUAGUGCAAUGGCAUAAGCCCGCUUAACUGCGAGAAUGACGGUUCGAGCAGGUGCGAAAGCAGGUCAUAGUGAUCCGGUGGUUCUGUAUGGAAGGGCCAUCGCUCAACGGAUAAAAGGUACUCCGGGGAUAACAGGCUGAUACCGCCCAAGAGUUCAUAUCGACGGCGGUGUUUGGCACCUCGAUGUCGGCUCAUCACAUCCUGGGGCUGAAGUCGGUCCCAAGGGUAUGGCUGUUCGCCAUUUAAAGUGGUACGCGAGCUGGGUUUAGAACGUCGUGAGACAGUUCGGUCCCUAUCUGCCGUGGGCGUUGGAAGAUUGAAGGGGGCUGCUCCUAGUACGAGAGGACCGGAGUGGACGAACCUCUGGUGUUCGGGUUGUGUCGCCAGACGCAUUGCCCGGUAGCUAAGUUCGGAAUUGAUAAGCGCUGAAAGCAUCUAAGCGCGAAGCGAGCCCUGAGAUGAGUCUUCCCUGACAGUUUAACUGUCCUAAAGGGUUGUUCGAGACUAGAACGUUGAUAGGCAGGGUGUGUAAGCGUUGUGAGGCGUUGAGCUAACCUGUACUAAUUGCCCGUGAGGCUUAACCAUACAACACCCAAGGGGUUUUGUA